UGCUUCUGUGCGUGCACAUGUAGACCUGUCCAGACACCAGGUGCAGAGCUACACUGAGAUUGGCCAGCUGAUAGAGGGGGGCAUCAGAAGACGUGCCACUGCCAGCACGAGCAUGAACCACGUCAGCAGCCGAUCCCACCUUCACCAUUAACUUUAUCCAGAUUGCAUCAUUAGAGCCGCCUUCAGGGUCAAGUGUAGAAGAGAAACUUCAUCAAGAUGUUGCUAGAGUAGCUCUCAGAAAUGAAGGGAUCGGGGUGGUGAUUGAUUUCCAAAUGCCGUAUUUGAUCUGCACUGAUGAAGAUCUACUGAGCACAGGCGUUGUUUUUAUCACUUAAAGUAGGAAUGCAGAAUUUCAGUAGGUGCUGGAGGAGCUGAGCUGAAGCAGGAUAUAGUUCUCCACGGUAAAGCUCUUCAGAGGGAACACUGUGUGGUUGAGAACCAGAGAAGGGCCGUCACUCUCCUGCCGCUCCCAGGAGACAGGUGUGGAGUCACAGGGGUGGAGGUGACUCUGGCCUGCCUUGACCCAGGGUCCACAGGAGCGACUCUCGUCUCAGAGCGAGACUCAAUGCACUUCCAGAACAGCCAAACAUGACUGAGGUUAAGAGUCUGGCGGACAAAGCCCCCGAUCCCCAGUUAAUUGGCAGAUGAAACAGAUAGAGUGCCUCGAGUUUGAAGUGCAUGUGUGGGAUUAACCUUUCAAAAAGGGUGAAACCUCCUAUAUUCAGAAAGAACAGCUCGUCUUCAGAGCUUGAUCUGUUCCUGGUGCAAGAAUAAAAAAGAAAAGGCAACUGGAGGAAAGGAGACGAGAAGGUAGACUUAUAGUCUCCUUUUCACAAAUUUCAAUUUGCCAAUGUUCAACUCUUUAGACAGUGUGCCAUCUCAAGUCAUUUAAUUUGAACAAAUGAUAGUAAAUUCCACAGCAUGGCCCAAAUCCAUCUGAUGCCAGAUUUUCAAAUGCUUUGUCACCUUCUGGAAGUCAAUAAUAGCUGCAAAAUUAGUUUUUGCCCCAAAAGGCAGAAAGGAGGAGAGAAAUAGGCAUCUUUUAAAUGUGCAUUGUAUAACUUUCAAAAGGAUCUCUUGACAGAAAUGCAA